ACGCCUCAUUGCCCUGAUCCUUUGCCGCGGGACGCACAUCCGCCGCUCGCCCUCGCCUCCCCCUCUCCCUCCCUGCACACACACACACACACACUCAUACACACACUCACUGACACACGCACGUGCCCAGCGUUCACGCCUACGCGCGUGUCUGUGAUUGAGUGUGUGUGUGUGUGCAUGUGUAUACCUGUAGCAGUAGACUUUUCGUUUUGUGCGCAUACCCGUGCCUUGAAGGCGAAGACAAGACGUUGGGAUCAUCCUUGUCACCGUCGCUGUCGCCGUUGUCAUCAACCCGUGCAGGCUCGGCAAGGAACAGCGCGACAGUCAGGUGCAGUAGUGUGUCUGCAUCUGCAGCGGCGCUUUCCUGUUGCUCCCUUCCUCUCUUCUCGCUCGCCGCUCACCCACCCACCGUGUGCGCGCACGCGAGCCGCUUCUCCGGCACGCAUCAACAUUAUGGCCUCCAUGAAUGGCAGCCUCUACCGGAGCAGUUGUUCCAUCUCGAGCUUAGCGGAUGCGCCACUCGCAAAAGCCACGGCGCUGUCUGAGCAAAACCUCGCGCGCACCCCGACGCCACCGCCGGCAAGAGUGCUGCCGGCGAUUGCCGCUGCUGCCACUGUCACGGCGGCUACUCUGCCUAGCAUACCGCUGGAUCGAUACCGGGCAAAGCUGGAGGAGUGUGCUGAGCUGCACCGUCAGCUGGAGGAGCUGGCACACACGAAGGAGGCGGUCGAACAGCGUCUCUCGAGUUGCCAAGCGGAAGCAGUGCAGCUGCGUCAGACUGUGCAUCGGCUAGAGUGUGUGCUGCAGCUCCGCAACGAGGAACUCGUCUUGCUACGUGAUUGCCGACGCCAGCGAGGUGUUGGUGGCGGGGAUGGCGCACCGGCCUCGAUGCGAAUGAUCCUGCCAACAGCUGAGGCCGUUGCACAAUCACUCGGCAGGGCCCGCGGCGGAGCAAGCCAGCAAUUUACCCACGCUGCUGAGGGCGCUGCAACGGCUGAUCAAGCGGUCAUACUCGAGUACAUCAGAGCCUCCUGCUACGUAGGCUGCCCGACGCACCCGCAACUUAUUCAGUUUUUUUUCGCCGCCUCCUCUGGAGAAGCGUUGGUCGCGACGGAGCCGCCGCUCACGUACGCGCAGGGCUCGGUGCUGCAUCGUCUGCUUACACAGACACCCAUCGGCUGGGGGGCUGCUGCCGCCGCCGCCGCCGUCGCUGAGCUCUCUGCAUUCCGGACGUGGGCCUGUGAGCAUCUUCGCACCUUUUCCGUUCGCUUCGAGGACGCCUACGCCGGUGUGUCGACUCUCUCCGAUGCGCUGCUGCACUCCCUCCCCUCACUCGCCCAACUCGAGGUGUGGGGUGUGGACAGCGACGCUGCCCUCACGAAGCUGACAGAUGCGCUGGUGGGUGCCACGCAGGUGCGCGAGCUGUCGCUGCCGGAGCUGGUAGUCGGCGACGACGGCCUACAAGGACUGUGGCGCCUGCUUCAAAUGCGCGGCUCGAUGCACGCCCCUUGCACCGCCGCGGUGCCGGCCGAGACGUCUUGCGCCGCCGACUCGCUCGCACUGGCGCUGUGCACUCUAGACCUCAGCGCCUGCCACAUCAAGGACCCGCUCACAUUGGCCCAGCUCCACUGUCCCUCUGUCGAGGUGCUUCUGCUGCCCCCAACUGACCGCAUGACGGACAGCCUCCUCGCAGAGGUGCUGCAGCGCUGUCCUCGGCUGCACACGCUUGACCUCUCGGGCUGCGCGCGGCUGACCGACGCGUGUGUCGAGUUCUUCAACUCCGCAGCUCCGCAGCUGCGGGUCCUCGCGCUGGAGCACUGCCCGCACGUUCACCGCCUCCAGCUAGAUCACGUGGAGGUACUGCUCUCGUCCCUCGUGCACGUGCACGCGCUCACGAGCCGCAGCCUGCGCGUGCUGCCGCUGCCGGUGCAGCAGCGCGCCGUCCUCUCCUCUCUCGUGGCGCCUCGCCUCUCGCAGAUCUCCUUGCACGGGCUGCCUGUAGAUGAGGAAGUGCUGCGGCGGCUCAACGGCCGCAGUGGUGAAGUGGACGGCUGCGAAGAAGGCGUGCGGCUCACCUCUGUCACCUUCUCGGAGUGCACGUUCGUCAGCGAUGAUGUUUUCGCAGGGUUUCUCCAAUCACAGACGGAUCUACAGAAGCUCUCUCUCUUCCACUGCAAGGGCCUGAGCAGCGCCUGCUGGAUGGCGAAGAGAGGCCUGCCCAUCUUCGCGGCCCUUCACACGCUCGAGUUGGUCAACCUUCGGACCCUCACCGACGAAGCCCUCCGCGAGCUCACCCAGGCAUGUCCAGCCCUGCAGCAACUCGAUCUCCACGGCGCGGGCUGGUCGCACCUGACAGACAUCAGCAUCCGCCAGCUAGACCGGCUAUCGGAGCUACGCGUGCUGAACCUACUUGCCCUGAACCCGGAUCUCGUGACGGCCCCUGUAGUCACUGCACUUGUUCAGCGCCUGCCGCAGUUGCAGCGGUUGUACCACGAGACCGCCAUCACCUUGGCGGGGCACAGUGAGUCGGUGGAGAACGGCGACAAGGGCGCUCUUCACCCCGUCGGCGCCGUGGAUAUCCCCUCCGCAUCGGUGUCGUCGUCUGUGACCGUCGAGAGGAGUGAUGCAGAGGCGCGCUGGCGAGCAGCGCUGCGCGACUACCCUCUUCGCAUGCUUCGGCUGCAGCACCACAGCGCUCUAGUCCUGUGGACAGAUCGGGCGCGCACAGCUGGGCCACGCGCAAGCCGCGAGGAUGUCCCACAAGCCACUAGCGAUUCUCUACUUACGGCGACAACAGUGGACGGGGGACACGACGGGAGCGGCAUCCAAGUGGCAGAAGCGGCCGCUGUAGAGCCAUCGAAACUGUUCCCGGCAAUGGCCGCCCGCACCAUGGCAGCUGCCAUCGCUGCCUCGGCGGCGAGUACACUAACGCUGCCAUCGCUGAAGACCCCUGCACCACCCCAGCACGGGCCGCCUGGCGAAGUGCGCCUCGGCGACGCAGAGGGAGCGCCACACGCCUCGAGCUGUUUCGUUGCGUCUCCGCACCAUGAGGCAGCAUUGCUGCCACCAGUGAGGCGCUCCACGCCAGGAGAGCCCGCGCACAUGGACGCAGACGAGUGUGGCCAAGCGUCGCCGGUGCAUGAGCAGCAGCAGCAGCUCAACUCGCCAUCGUCAUGCUCCUCCUCCGGCUCCUCGACAUACACCCAGCAGUCGACGCAAGAGGGCAGUCACGAAGGUGCAGGCCACAGCCUCAAGCGGUCACUGGUGCAGUGCGCCAACGCCGCCGCAUCAGCAGCUUUCCAGUCGUACCAGCACCGCCCCGUGCGCAUGUCGACAGGCUCCAGCCGUCCAUCUGUGGCAACCGCAGUCGCCGCCACGGCAGCAGCACCACAAGCGGGCUCUGUGGAAGACCGUGCCGAAGCGUUCAUGGGGCCUUGGGAAGAGUAGAGCGAAGGGCCUGACGACGCGCGUGCGCUGCCGGGCUUCUUUACCCUCCCCUCCCCCCCCACACACACACACACACUUCAGUCCCAUUUUGCACGGCGGCAUUUGUGCCCGGCGGCCUCGCGCUCUUUUCUUGGGUGUUGCUGUUUCUAGGGGGGGUUAGAUGUGUCCCACACCUUCGAGUUUCGCACGAGCCCCCACCGCCCCCCUCCUCCCUUUUCCUCAUAUGGGGCACAGAAGCACACACACACACCUGUGCGCGUGCGCCAUCUCUUGUGAUCGAGUUGGCUUCUCUUUACUCUUCUUUUUCCCCUUUACAUGUAUGUAAACAGCAGCACGCAGGAAAGAGCGUUGGUGAUGCGUGACAACGGUGCGGAUGACGUGGCAUGAUGAUGGCCAUGUCGGUGACAACGAUGCGGACGGCUCUCAUACUUACUUUCACACGCGCCGAUCCAUCUUUUCGCGCUACUUGUACGUGAACAGGCACGACCUUCUGUGUGCACGUGCGUGUGCGCCUCCGGAUAGACUUUGUUUUCUCAUUCUGCAUCGCUCUCUUUCUCCCUCUGUGGCGGCAAGGGAAGGGGGAAGGAGGAGGAGGCCAGACACCCACACCCUAUCCCCUGCCAGUGCCGAGUCUCCCCUCUGGUGGGGGGCAUGGGUUGAGGCAGGGGACGCGCUCAGGUCACUGAGUUGGUGCCUUGUGCUGCGGCAGGCCCCGUGGGUGCGGUG
rnacentral:misc_RNA from 1 species